rnacentral:rRNA from 1 species
AGCGCAGGCGGUUUCUUAAGUCUGAUGUGAAAGCCUUCGGCUCAACCGAAGAGGUGCAUCGGAAACUGGGAAACUUGAGUGCAGAAGAGGACAGUGGAACUCCAUGUGUAGCGGUGAAAUGCGUAGAUAUAUGGAAGAACACCAGUGGCGAAGGCGGCUGUCUGGUCUGUAACUGACGCUGAGGCUGAAAGCAUGGGUAGCAAACA